AGCAGCCGCGGUAAUUCCAGCUCCAAUAGCGUAUAUUAAAGUUGUUGCAGUUAAAAAGCUCGUAGUUGAACUUCGGGGUUUACUCAUUGGUCAGGCUUAACCGUCUGUACUGGUGAGAUGAAUCUCUACCUUCUGAGGAACUUUCAUGCCAUUUAUUUGGUGCGAUUGGAAAUCAAGGACUGUUACUUUGAAAAAUUAGAGUGUUUAAAGCAGGCUAACGUCUGAAUACAUUAGCAUGGAAUAAUGAAAUAGGGCGGAUUGA
rnacentral:rRNA from 1 species